UACGGAGGGGGCGAGCGUUGUUCGGAAUCACUGGGCGUAAAGCGCGUGUAGGCGGCCUCCUAAGUCUGGUGUGAAAGCACGGGGCUUACCCCCGGAAGUGCACUGGAAACUGGGAAGCUAGAGUACCGGAGAGGAGGGUGGAAUUCCUGGUGUAGCGGUGAAAUGCGUAGAUAUCAGGAGGAACACCGUUGGCGAAGGAGGCCCUAUGGAUGGAUACUGACGUUGAGACGCGAAAGCGUGGGGAGCAAACAGG
rnacentral:rRNA from 1 species